rnacentral:rRNA from 1 species
UAGGGAAUCUUCGGCAAUGGACGAAAGUCUGACCGAGCAACGCCGCGUGAGUGAAGAAGGUUUUCGGAUCGUAAAACUCUGUUGUUAGAGAAGAACUAGGACGUUAGUAACUGAACGUCCCCUGACGGUAUCUAACCAGAAAGCCACGGCUAACUACGUGCCAGCAGCCGCGGUAAUACGUAGGUGGCAAGCGUUGUCCGGAUUUAUUGGGCGUAAAGCGAGCGCAGGCGGUUUCUUAAGUCUGAUGUGAAAGCCCCCGGCUCAACCGGGGAAGGUCAUUGGAAACUGGGAGACUUGAGUGCAGAAGAGGAGAGUGGAAUUCCAUGUGUAGCGGUGAAAUGCGUAGAUAUAUGGAGGAACACCAGUGGCGAAGGCGGCUCUCUGGUCUGUAACUGACGCUGAGGCUCGAAAGCGUGGGGAGCAAACAGG